UACGUAGGGUGCAAGCGUUGUCCGGAAUUAUUGGGCGUAAAGAGCGUGUAGGCGGCUCGAUUAGUCCGCUGUGAAAGUCCAGGGCUCAACCCUGGAAUGCCGGUGGAUACUGUCGAGCUAGAGUCCGGAAGGGGCGAGUGGAAUUCCUGGUGUAGCGGUGAAAUGCGCAGAUAUCAGGAAGAACACCCGUGGCGAAGGCGGCUCUCUGGGACGGUACUGACGCUGAGACGCGAAAGCGUGGGGAGCGAACAGG
rnacentral:rRNA from 1 species